AUGAACGCUAGCUACAGGCUUAACACAUGCAAGUCGAGGGGCAUCAGGAAGAAAGCUUGCUUUCUUUGCUGGCGACCGGCGCACGGGUGAGUAACACGUAUCCAACCUGCCCUUUACUCGGGGAUAGCCUUUCGAAAGAAAGAUUAAUACCCGAUAGCAUAAUGAUUCCGCAUGGUUUCAUUAUUAAAGGAUUCCGGUAAAGGAUGGGGAUGCGUUCCAUUAGGUUGUUGGUGAGGUAACGGCUCACCAAGCCUUCGAUGGAUAGGGGUUCUGAGAGGAAGGUCCCCCACAUUGGAACUGAGACACGGUCCAAACUCCUACGGGAGGCAGCAGUGAGGAAUAUUGGUCAAUGGGCGCUAGCCUGAACCAGCCAAGUAGCGUGAAGGAUGAAGGCUCUAUGGGUCGUAAACUUCUUUUAUAUAAGAAUAAAGUGCAGUAUGUAUACUGUUUUGUAUGUAUUAUAUGAAUAAGGAUCGGCUAACUCCGUGCCAGCAGCCGCGGUAAUACGGAGGAUCCGAGCGUUAUCCGGAUUUAUUGGGUUUAAAGGGAGCGUAGGUGGACUGGUAAGUCAGUUGUGAAAGUUUGCGGCUCAACCGUAAAAUUGCAGUUGAUACUGUCAGUCUUGAGUACAGUAGAGGUGGGCGGAAUUCGUGGUGUAGCGGUGAAAUGCUUAGAUAUCACGAAGAACUCCGAUUGCGAAGGCAGCUCACUGGACUGCAACUGACACUGAUGCUCGAAAGUGUGGGUAUCAAACAGGAUUAGAUACCCUGGUAGUCCACACAGUAAACGAUGAAUACUCGCUGUUUGCGAUAUACAGUAAGCGGCCAAGCGAAAGCAUUAAGUAUUCCACCUGGGGAGUACGCCGGCAACGGUGAAACUCAAAGGAAUUGACGGGGGCCCGCACAAGCGGUGGAGCAUGUGGUUUAAUUCGAUGCAACGCGAAGAACCUUACCUGGUCUUGACAUCCACAGAACUUUCCAGAGAUGGAUUGGUGCCUUCGGGAACUGUGAGACAGGUGCUGCAUGGCUGUCGUCAGCCCGUGUUGUGAAAUGUUGGGUUAAGUCCCGCAACGAGCGCAACCCUUAUCCUUUGUUGCCAGCGGUCCGGCCGGGAACUCAAAGGAGACUGCCAGUGAUAAACUGGAGGAAGGUGGGGAUGACGUCAAAUCAGCACGGCCCUUACGUCCGGGGCUACACACGUGUUACAAUGGGGGGUACAGAAGGCAGCUAGCGGGUGACCGUAUGCUAAUCCCAAAAGCCUCUCUCAGUUCGGAUCGAAGUCUGCAACCCGACUUCGUGAAGCUGGAUUCGCUAGUAAUCGCGCAUCAGCCACGGCGCGGUGAAUACGUUCCCGGGCCUUGUACACACCGCCCGUCAAGCCAUGGGAGCCGGGGGUACCUGAAGUACGUAACCGCAAGGAUCGUCCUAGGGUAAAACUGGUGACUGGGGCU
rnacentral:rRNA from 1 species